AUGGUGGAGCGUCAGGGCAUUCCGGCGCUGGGGUGGUGGCUGAUGCUGGUGGGCUCCCUCCGCCUCGCCUCCGUCUGGUUCGGCUUCUUCAACAUCUGGGCGCUCCGCGUCGCCGUCUUCUCCCGGACGCAGAUGACCGAUGUGCACGGACAAACUGAAUCCAUCUGGACGCUGCUGACCUGCACGCUGUGCUUCCUGUGCGCACUGAACCUGGACAACAGGCCUCUGUACCUAGCCACCUUCCUGUCGUUCGUCUACGCCCUCGGACAUUUCCUCACUGAAUAACUUGCUAGAAAAAACAUGGCCGCAGCAAACCUGAGCACCGUUGGAUUGCUUGCAGGGACAUCGAUUGUGUGGAUGCUUCCUCAGUGGGGCUCCCAUGGUUCCUGCGCCGCCAAGCAAGAGUAA
rnacentral:rRNA from 1 species